UUACGGCCAUAUAGAGUUGAAACACAGGAUCCAGUACGAUCACCGAAGUUAAGCAACAUUAAGCCUAGUCAAUACCGAGAUAAGUGACCGCUUGGGAAAAUCAGGUGCUAUA